AUACAGGAAUGUAUAGACAGACACCCCCAGAAAAGAGGAAGGGGGACAAGCUGUUUUUCCCUCAGGAAGCCUGAAGGAUUGGCUGCCACAGCCCUGGAUGCACAGUUCAGGACUGGGGAAGGUUCAGCUGCACAGAAUGUCCUUGAAAGGCUGCCCCAGACCACCUUGAUGAGGCACGUGAUUCAUCUCCAGAUACCAGAAUUUAAAAGAUCAGGAUCCCUGUUUCAGUCCCACAGAGUCAUUAUACCUAUGACGUUCUCUGCUCAUCAAGAAAGACAGAAAUGCUCUAGAUGCCUUUGUGGGAAAGCUGA